GGCAGGUAUUUACAAAGGGAAGUGUUAUAGAUUAAGCUUGACGUCAUGUGAUGAUGAUGUCAUCAGAUGAUUGUCACAUGACAUUACAGGUGCACUGUUCAAAGCACUAUAUCCCAUGAAGUACAUGUCCGAUUGGGUUGAAACCUUGCAGCAUGUGAACAAGUAAGACUCCUUUUUAAGUUUAUUAACCUGGGUGUCUUUGACAGUUUGUUUGAAAACUUCAAAUGUGAAAAAGCCCUGUUAGGCCGUCAGCUGAACCCCUAAAUUCUUUUGUUUCGUUCCAGUAACUGCAGGAAUAAAUUUUCUGAGCAGAAUUGAGCACAUAAAUUACCAGAGAUGACAAAUGCAAAAGUCCUCGAGAAGUUAUCCUGCAGUUUUCUAAUAAUCUGGGUGGAAAGAGCAAACUAUUUUGCCUCGGGGAAGCUCUAUGCCUGAAAUUUGCCACGUUUAAAAGUUGUUCAGGAAUGAUGUAAUUAGACCACAUGAUACAAAUUGUUCAAUCCGAGACUCGAAUGCAGGUCGUAGGUCGUGGGUCAUGACACAAAGCAGUAAAUAUGGCGACGUCUGGCAAUGCGGAUGGCAUGUGCCUCAACGUCAACAUCGACAAAUUUCAGGUGUUUAAUGCAUGUAGAAUCGGUCAAAUUUGAAGGUAAAAGCCCUUACAAAUGUCCAAUGGAGAAAGUUCACUUCAUGUGCCAAAGAGUGGCUUGAUUUAUGCAGCAGAGAUUGCGAAAUCACUGAACAAACAGAGCGCAAGGGACUACGCGUGAUCUGCACAGACUGUGCCUAUGGCAAAGCAUAUGAAUUACAUAGUUUUUUAAACACCCGAAUGCUGCUAGAAAACAGAAGUUACACGAUGAUUCUCCCUCUGAAGCUUCAUCUUCUUCCCGUAAGAAACUCUGGGCUAGAUCAAGAUUUUCUUCUGGAAGAUGACAUAUCUUGUGUGUUGCCUGUAUGUUAACUUGAAUGCGUCAUGGAGUAAAGUUGAGCUGUUCGUCACUUGACGUGGGAAACGUGUCACAGAUAAGCUGUUGCAGGCAGAAAUUUCUGAUGGAGGUAAGCUGCAUUACAAUGACAUCGCAGUCAGGGAAGGGCGUAUUGAUUCGAAAUUUAAUAGUAAUUUAGGUCUAUCAUGUCUAUGUUGGUAUUUUAGUUUUAGCCCAUCAUGCCCACCAUUGAAGCUGUUUCUAGUAACUUGGACUCAACGAAUGGCUCAAAAAUGUCUGGAAACAAAUAGAAUUUAACAAGAUAGUUAUAAGAUUAAGAGCACAAGCAAGAUGGUUUAAAUUGUAUUUCCUUUUAUGUUUCUUUUCCAGGAAUGUUUUGUCAAGCAGCAGAGAGCAAAAGAGACGAAAAUGUUUUGAUACACAUUUGGGACAAAGAUUGUGUUGCUCUGGAGGUUCGAUGUCGCACCUCUUGUUACAAAUCAUACACUCAGAUCCUGACAAGGAAAAGCAAGGAUCCUGAAGGUGACAAGUUGAAAUAUUGGCUCAAAAGAUAUUAUCCUGAGCUCUGUUCUCACAAAACUUUCUCAAGAAACAAGUGUGAGAUUGUCAACUCAUCCACAUUGUCAUCAAGAAGUGUAACCGAAUCUCUGGACACUCUGGAGGAUGAUUUAUCAACCGACAUGAUUGAUCUGGAAACUGGCACAGAUGCUCCCACCUCUUCAUACACUGUUACAGGACAGAAUGACUCUGUGCUUGAUGAUUUUUGAUGGAUAGUAAUGAGAAGAUGCUCCAAGGUUCCAAUUCGUAGCCCUCUUCAGUAUUGUCUUUUCAAGAAAUUACAAAGCAUUUAGAUUUUGUAGCUGACCUGUUCAUUAGAGUUGUUUCUUUUACCUUAGCAUUAUGGCAUUUUAUUUGCAUGUAAACAAAUAGCAUGACAUGUACGUCUAAAUUAAAUGCGCUCUUUUGAUAAUCAAUUUAACUAACCAGUGAGAUUAACUUUUUGGGGACAUUUUUCUAAAUGCCUUGUUUCAUAAUCAUAUGGCCCAGGUUCAGAUGAUCACAUCAAAAUUUAAAUUACAGUCAUUUGAUUUGGAAUUGGAAGCCAUUUUUAGCACAAAAUGACUGGUUCGGGGGGCCUUGGAAACAUAAACACGUUAUGAGUACAUUGAGUGAAGUUCUGUAAAUGUAUUUCCCCUGCUGUCAGCAAUUUAGUACAUUUUCAUCUCCAUUUUGGAUAUAAUUACAAUAUUGAAGGUUUGACAUAAUCACAGUUCUCUAAUUUUGAAGUUGGAAGUGCCCACACACAGCCUUAGAAGCGGAUAUUGUCCAUUUUUGGCAUACAGGAGUAUGGCAAACUUUGAGAUAGAAUUACUGAAAAACCGCAGGAUUUUUUUGGGGGAAAACUUUUGACGUAAUGUUUGGGAUGUACAGAACCUCACAUUUAUGCAUUCAAAAAGUAUCCCAGUAUUGCUGGAACAAAACUCAUUUUUGCAGCCAGUUUCUUAGUCGGCCUAAGUGUUCUGUCCACAAGACAAAUGCACAGAGGUCUAGUUUCUUCUUCUUCUCCAUGUGCUUCUGCCAAACCCUGUUCACUUUGUACAGGGUUUUUCUGUACUGCACUUUAGUCCCUUUGCAAGUUCGUGACUUCAUCAAAGUUGCAGCAAGUAGAGACCCUGUAGCAAAGAUGUACUGUGAAGCGUGACGUCAUGAUGACGUCAUCAGCUGAUUUUUUAUAGAAUUUUGAAUAUUUCAUUUCCCUGAAGGUUUUAAACACAUUUUUCAACUGCCAGAAUGGCAUGGACUUCGGCUACUCCACCAAAUGAAAUUUGGUCUAAGCAAAGACCAAUACAGCAUAGAUAGUCCUAGAAGCAUUAAGUCACUUUGACAGCAUGAAAUGAUUUAUUAUUUAAUUUUGAAGAUAUCAUUUGUCCCUUUGACUUUGUACACAUUUUCAAACCUGUUGACUUUAUAUAUACACAGUUUAUGCUUACAUGCAGUAUAUCCAUGCGCGAUCCGCGGUCCUGUGCGAUUGGUCAACCUUAGCGUGGUUGCUCAGUACAGUCUUAUUACAUGAUUUCUAGAUAAUGUCGCUAGAAGGUUGUGACAAAUCGUGUUAAGUAUUUAGGGAAAUGAACUCCGUGAUUUUAUGUUGGGUCAACCAGUUGUUCAAAGCAGUACUUGACACAAAUUGUCCACUGCAUACAGCAUAUCAACCAUAUUUUUGCAGUCCUGUCAACACAUGGAUAGUUUCGAUGGGCCCAUGUGUUUUGUUGAGACCUUCUUGGGACAUCCCAUUCCUGAAAUGGCACAAAUUGAAUUCUUUUUGGACUUUUCUUGAUCAGAGGAUUCCAAGGUAGGCUUAAUCCCACAAAAGCUGAACUAAAACCAAAUUUAUGGACCGGAGUUGGAAAUUGCGGCCAAGGAGUUGACACCGAAUACGGGAUAGGCAUGAUCCCAAUUAUCGUGAGCAUGAGUGUACCAAACAAGCAGACUGUAGUGUGGCAAGCAACUGGGUUUGGAAGCUGGAUGAACUGCAGGAACUGGUAGGCAAUUAACAUUAUCAGUUGAAAGUUUUGUCUGCCCUUUCUGUAUUCUGUAGCUCUGGAUAGUAAUGUUAGGGGAAACAGAACUGACUCACACUAGCUCUGAAUUUGCAUUGACAUAUUCUGAGUAAUUUGAACUCUACAAAUGUCCUUUUUCAAUGUUUCGACAUGGUUGCUCAGACCAUGUCCAGCGACCAUGUCCAAAUGAUAAAAAAGAUAAUUUUUUGAGUUCAAGUUGCUCAGACUAGCAUUGACAAUGGUCAAGUACGUCCUAGUUUUUCAGCACAAUCAAGAGAUCAACUUGCACGUACAUUCAUUAUACCUGUUCCUGAGUUCAUUAUUCAAUAAUUUUAGUAUGAUAGAUUUUAUUCAAAGGCAAAUCAAAUCAGGAUGGCCUAUGGAGUACAACAAAUUUGCACAGGUUUUACGAUUGCGCUGCAAAAUGAAGUCCCUGAAACACUCACCUUGCAUACUGUAUUUCUUAUGUAUGCCCCCCAGGCAGACACCAUGUCAUUACAGGCCUACGGUAAACAUCCAAAAAUGUAUGAAAUUUGAAUGUAGACCUGUGGUUAUUUAAUAUUGAUGUAAGCUGAUUAUUCUGAAUAUUUUGAUUUCCUUAUUUGCAUCUUGUGUAUAGGUAUCCUUUGUGUUACUGCCUAAGUGAAAGCUAGAGAUACAUAUAAAUGUGUUCUCCAUGUUAGUUCCAAUGAUUGGAAUUCAACAUACCUGCAGUUACAAGUAGAUAUCAGAAGCACUGCUCCCCAAGAUAAAUUAAGCUGCUGUACAACCAAGCAAGGAAGUUAACAGAUGUUCAUCAGCACAGACACGAAGGCAGUCUUCAUACAUGUUGGAUGUCCCCAUUGUCAUUAAUGGAAAUGGAGUUUGAAGCAGGACUGAUCCACAGAAUGUUGAGAACAGCUUCAUCAAAGUACUCGUUACAAGAUCUUUAACUGCAACCAGCAGGAAAUUACGCAGAAGACUAUUCACCAGCACAUGAAGGAAGUCUUUAGACAUGUUGGUGUCCGAGGUGUCAUCGAUGGAACUGCAAUUCAUACUGAGAAUGUUCUACAGAAGGACUUCAUCAAAAUACCAAGUUUAUCUGAAAAAACUGCAACCAAUAGGACAUAAAUUGUACAUGUAUAUGUGUGUAUGUCCCUGACAUUUCUUUUCAAGAUUACUGCAGAAAUUAUGAAUACAUACGUUGGAAGCAUUAUGCAAAGUUUUCAGCAUUCACAAGAUCCUGAUAUUUUCAAUGUGUUUCUAUGUUCUUCUUAAGUAUGUCUGGAAAUCUUUAUGGCAAAAAAACCUUAACUGGUUUUAUAUAAAUUACAAUAGUAAAAUGCCCUAAAGCACAAACGCAAUUUUUCUUUAAUAUUUUGUAAGAAGUAUGAAGUACUUGUAUGAAGUACGAGUCCGAUUCAGUUGAAACUUGGCACAUGGCUAGAAAUAGAUGUGCUUCAGAUGAAAAUUGACAUCAUAAGAUGAUUUCUUCUUCGUGUGACAGGUCAAGUGACAAUCCACGUGACAUUAAAUGUUUGCAAUAUAUCAUCUACAUGUAUGUGUUCUUGUCAUUAAUCUUGUAAGGCGUUCAUCACUGGUUUCAAAUGAAAGCAGCUGUGUUUGUCCACAAACACAUUUCUAGUUUAAUUGUAAUUUCUUUAAGUAAUUUCUUUCAUUUUCAAGUCUUUGUUUUUUUGUGAUAUUUCUGUAAUAAAUUCUUUGUUGUCCGUUUUUUUUUUAAAUUUAGAAGUUUGUGUCUUUUGUUUCUAUUCAGUUGCUUGCAGCAUUUUCCUUCAAUGAUCCUUGGUUAGUUACAUUUAGUUUUUUUUAGUAGUGUGAGUUCCUACAGAACGUGUCAUUUUCUAGGUCCUCAAAGAUAUCCUGAGUGACUUGAUUCAGAGUUCAGAGGUUUGCAAAAUUUGUUCAUUGAUUUUGUUUUAUCACUUUUCAG